GCAAGUAGCUAGUUAGCUGGCUAGCGAUGAUCCGGUGUUAAGGUCCAGUGAUUCCAGUGAACUCUAACAGGCCAAUUUGGGUUGACAUGGAAGAAGAACUUAAUACCCCAUUUUGAGAAUCAUAUUAUCUGAGUCAACACUUAAAUGUGGGACUGCAGAAUCCCAUAAUGUCCCAUACUAAGAAAUAUGGCAUCAGAUACAUAAGAGAGAGACAUCUUCACCUUUCCUGACAAUCUCUGCUUUGUUAUGGAACAACCAUAAAUAAAAAUUAGGAGGACAGGUGAUUGUCUGGAAAGAGGGGGAUAGGUUAUGUUUUAGCCUCAACACUAAUACAUUUCAUUUAGCUUUUAGUAUCAACUUUAAUUUGAGUGUGGCUGUGGAAGACUGGUCCCUUGAUGAUGUCUUCAAGUGCCUGAGAACCAAUGAUCUCCAUGAUUCCAUUCCAUCAUUCCAAGGUUCACAAUCUGUCUGAAGAAUGCCAACUGGAUUUCAGUUAGUUAAAAUUCAUUGAUUUAUUAACUUAUUAAGCACAACACACUUUUGUUUUCACAUUUUCAAAUGCUUUUCCUAUUCUGAUAUUCACUGACCAGAACACUGACAUGUUCUUGAUGGAGAGACAUUGAUGUCAUUGGACCAAAGAAUGGUGAAGCAACUCGUUCCAAUAAUCAAAGUUUGAAUCAAAUUCACAAAAUUAAUGGAAAAUAUAAAAGCUGUAAAUAGUUCACAGCAAAAUGACCCUGCAUCUGUCCAGCAAAAUGACACACAAAUUGGCGUUCAGCAUGAAAUAUCAACUGGCCAGCAACAGAACACAUUAAUCAGCCAAAGAGUCUGGCCAUCUGUGUUUAGACUUCCAGAAUUUCCAGCUUUAUUAAAAGGAAAACUUGAAAACAAAAUGUACUAUCUCCAUCGCCCUACUGCGCGCUCGAAGUGGAGGUCUCAGAUUGUGUAGGUGUUGUUCGACUUCAUGUGUACCUACACUUGGUACCCCACUACCCGGCAAUACAUGGAUGUGUGCACAGAGCUCAUUCAAAAGUACCCCUCGUUGUGAAACCACACCGGGAAGGGAUGUGAGUCAUGGCACAGCAUGAUAAAGAAUUAAUACAAAAAAGAAUGGCAGCUGCUUGCUCACGUUGCACAAGUACAGGGAAUGCAGAAGACGUUUGGGAGGCAAGGCAAAGAAAUAAGUCCAGAUGACACCGAAAAUGAAGACCCGACCAAAAUAGUCAAGAUUGAGACUGGUGAGGAUUCCAUCAGUCAGAAGUUAAAUGUUAAAAAGAUGCAGGCGGAGUGCCAAAAAAAGAGACCGAACAUAAGCUCCCUACAAGACUAAAUGAAAAGGACUGAAAAAGAGAGAGAACUUUUUAUGAAACACCAAGGCACCAAGGACAUCUUAAAACAAUACCCAGCACUCCGUUUGUCAGCCAUUAUUUUCUCAGAGAUGAGAAGCAAAUUCUGUAUGGAUGUGAACAGAAACAUUCUGAAAUGUGGCAGACAAAAUAAUUGCAGAAGCGGAGAGGAAAAGUGUGGCUGUGGAGUUGCUGAAUCUCUACAAGACUAAAUUUCUCUCACACACGGAGGAGGCUCACAAGGUCUCAAGGUCACUUUGCUCCUCCCCUUCCUCCUCAAAGAAGAUCCAUGUGGGCUGUACGUCACAGACAGGAGUGUAAAGUUCCCAUCACCUACCAUAAGAAUAGAGGGAAAUCCCUUUGCGGAUGAGAGCCAUGUCCAACUCUUUCAGGAUGGAGAGGAGCUACUCACUGAAGAGCCGGAGGACAUCUCCAUGGGAUUGGGAGUGGCAAUGGGGGUCCAUUUCCUUUUUAAUAUUGAGUAUGCAGCGUCAGUGAAAAGCACUAUGCUGUUCAUUCAGAAAUGUGUUCUGGGAAUUGAUGAGGGUUGUAUAUUACCAACAAAUGUUGUAUGAAUGGCAAACUUUCUGCUGUAGACAGGGAUAGGGGAGACCAGAGAUUUCUGUGACUUUUAAAGUCAA